CUCCAGUGACCAUGUGACUGUGGGCUUCCCUUUGUCAUCCUAUGCCUGGAGAUCAUAGUGAGGCAGGGACAGCAAAGGGUUGCUCAGCUGUCAUCGCUUAC
rnacentral:pre_miRNA from 11 species